GCCGGGCGUGGUGGCGUGUGCCUGUAAUUCCAGCUACUCGGGAGGCUGAGGCAUGAGAAUCGCUUGAACCUGGGAGGCGGAGGUUGCAGUGAGCUGAGAUCAUGCCACUGCACUCCACCCUGGGUGACAAAGCGAGACUCUGUCUUAA
ensembl:misc_RNA Metazoa_SRP Metazoan signal recognition particle RNA